AUCCCAUGGUGUAGAAAUUGCCUUAGCAAUUCUUUGAAUCUUUACCAAGCACCAAACAAAGAUUCAUCAUCUCCUUGCCUAAAUGAAAUGAUUUCAUUUCUCAUUUU